AGUCGAACGAGCGAGAGAAAGCUUGCUUUCUCAAGCGAGUGGCGAACGGGUGAGUAACGCGUGAGGAACCUGCCUCAAAGAGGGGGACAACAGUUGGAAACGACUGCUAAUACCGCAUAAGCCCACGGCUCGGCAUCGAGCAGAGGGAAAAGGAGCAAUCCGCUUUGAGAUGGCCUCGCGUCCGAUUAGCUAGUUGGUGAGGUAAUGGCCCACCAAGGCGACGAUCGGUAGCCGGACUGAGAGGUUGAACGGCCACAUUGGGACUGAGACACGGCCCAGACUCCUACGGGAGGCAGCAGUGGGGAAUAUUGCACAAUGGGGGAAACCCUGAUGCAGCGACGCCGCGUGGAGGAAGAAGGUCUUCGGAUUGUAAACUCCUGUUGUUGAGGAAGAUAAUGACGGUACUCAACAAGGAAGUGACGGCUAACUACGUGCCAGCAGCCGCGGUAAAACGUAGGUCACAAGCGUUGUCCGGAAUUACUGGGUGUAAAGGGAGCGCAGGCGGGAAGACAAGUUGGAAGUGAAAUCUAUGGGCUCAACCCAUAAACUGCUUUCAAAACUGUUUUUCUUGAGUAGUGCAGAGGUAGGCGGAAUUCCCGGUGUAGCGGUGGAAUGCGUAGAUAUCGGGAGGAACACCAGUGGCGAAGGCGGCCUACUGGGCACCAACUGACGCUGAGGCUCGAAAGUGUGGGUAGCAAACAGGAUUAGAUACCCUGGUAGUCCACACCGUAAACGAUGAUUACUAGGUGUUGGAGGAUUGACCCCUUCAGUGCCGCAGUUAACACAAUAAGUAAUCCACCUGGGGAGUA
rnacentral:rRNA from 1 species